UUGGCAGAACCGUAAGAGUGCCGGAAAAAAAUAUCUUACAGUAAUUAUUCCCUCCCUUUACGUUCCGAGUUCAAUUCCAACCGGAGUCAACUUUACCCUUCGUUAUUCUGAGAUAAAAUAAAGAACCACUCAAAUACUGGGGCUGAUUUAAUCAACGUACAUUUCCAACCCACAAAUUUGUGACAUAGUAGCAGUAGUAGUGGUAGGGAGAACAGUUUUCGUGUACGUAUUAGUUUGGCAAUUGCGCGUCAUGUGAAAUUCUCUUGACAAACUCACUGCUGAAGUUUGCAAGAAUUUGGUUAACAGCAAUAAUGUCAAGGUCCUUGAUAUUAUAUAAGCGGCCCACAUUAAGAAAUGGGGGUAAAACAGCAAAUAAGACACACAGCACACACGUAAUAUAUGCGUAUAUGAUGAAAUAUAAUAUACACAAGAGUUUUCGUGCGUGCUCAACCACGCACGCAUACAUUUGUGUUUAGAAACGUGUGCGAAUGUACAUGUAAAUAUAAUGUUAUAUUUGUGUGUGUAUGUAUAACACACACACACACACAAGUGUAUAUAAAAUGCAUAGGGAUUCCCGUCGAUUUCUAUGAUGAUUAAUUGUUCGAUCAACGUAACAACUUACUCAUUGCAUGAGCGUGUCUGUGUCCGAAUAUUCUACAGUGACGAACUAUUGACUUAAUUUCCAGGGAGAAUCAGCAUGACACAGUGUGACAAGACUAGGACUUUGAAUUUACCAGUACAAUCCAACCUACAAGCUUACAAACCCGUUUUCGUUUGCCGUGUUUUCAGUUAUAAGAACACUGGCGGUAAUCUUUCGGUAUUAAUAGACGACGUCAUUCACCCUUACCUAUAUCACGAGGGAACGUUGCGUGGAUGAAUGACGUCUACUAAUACCGAAAGAUUGUCACACUGACUCCACAUUCUUUGCAGCGAGAUCAAUACCUGGGUCCUCAUUAUUGCGAAAACUUCUUUAUCACUUGGUGUUACCUGCAUCCGUGUGUGUGUAAAUGUUUUAAAAUACCUUGUCAUUUUGGAGUAUCUAGUUGACUACCAACAAGCAAGUGGAAGACGGAAGGCAAAGACUCAUGCGGAAGAAACUUGUUAAUGUGUAAGUGAAACGACGAAGUGCUCCCUGGAACUGACAAAUAAACCACCUAUUUAUUUUUUCCCAGGCAUUGCCAAUAUAUACCUAUCUCAAAGCUUAACUGUGUCACCGUGAUUGAAAAUAAAUCAGGUUUAUCUAAGUUAACCUUUGCUUCGUGUAAGAUAAUGGCGAAUUUCUAGCAGGUUGAACGAAAGGAUUUUACGUGCACAUUUAGAGAACAAAGGAAACACACGUAAAGAUUCAAGUUUCGAUCCUUGGUUACGGAAACUUACAUUUCAUAUCUAUUAACUGGUACAGGCAAGGUAUAAAUUAAGGAUUCGAAUUUUUAAAACAAUGUUUUGUCAAGCCUUGGUGAGCGCAACAAAAAGGAGAAGACAUAUAUGAAGUUGUACAUAGUUUCUGUGUAAAAAAAAAAAAAAAAAAAAAAAAAAAAAAAGGUCUUUCUUGGUAAAUGAUAGUCGGUUGCUGCAUAACCAAAGCAGUUCCUACAAUGCUGGGUUUUCUUAACAGUGUCAAAUGUAAAGCGUGAUGUAAAGAACAUAAACUGUAUGAUUAAUAGAUAUUGCAUUGUGUAUGAAGAUAGUGCCUCCUUCUCUCAGAUCGUAUAACGUACGAAUGAUGAACUUCGUCAAAUCUAGUCUUCUGAACACAAAGAUACUGCUUCUGUUGUGUAAAGAAUAAAAUGCGGGGGAAGAUGUGUUUCACGCAGAACUGAGAUGGCUUUCAAGAGUCGUAGUCGUUGCAAUGAUGAAAGAUUAAUCUAAAGAAUUCUUUUCGUUCGAGAAAACAGAAUAAAGUAUUCAAGAUCACUUCUGAUAAACGGAUUGCAAAGCUAACCUUCCUAAACGAUUUAUUUUUCUUAUUAGUCAAUGCAGCUAACAAGAUACUUUAAGGCAUCUAGCUACCGUUAUACAGACUUAGUCAACAAAUUAAGAUAAUUUUGGAUGAAAUUUGAGCUGUAGAACGAUAGGCUGGAAAUGGGUCAUGACAAUGUUUUAGAGAAUACGAGUCAAAGUUCUACACUACUACAAGUGGACUUUCUUUAUUCGGCACUUAGGCCUUAACAUAGAGGGGAACACUACAAAGACAGACAACGUAAUACAAUACGUGGGGUACAAAGAAUGAAUGAUGAAUGUGUAGUAAUGCCGUGCGCAUGCGUGGAAUUAAACAGCCAAGCGUUCCCGCUUAAUUCUAUCUUUUUUACGGUCGGCCGACCAUGAGCAUGGACGUGUUAAGCUGUCUCUUCACCAUCUUUCGGACUUACACUCGACAGCUCGCUUGCAACUACAUACCCACGUCCCAACAACUAUGCUCACACACAACAGAAGCUGUAACAACAAGAGCUAAAGAUGUAUAUAUUUACCACCUGAAUAAAGUGUUGUUUAAGUUGAUA